UACGUAGGGUGCAAGCGUUAAUCGGAAUUAUUGGGCGUAAAGGGCUCGUAGGCGGUCUGUUGCGUCGGGAGUGAAAACUUACAGCUUAACUGUGAGCGUGCUUCCGAUACGGGCAGACUUGAGGUAUUCAGGGGAGAACGGAAUUCCUGGUGUAGCGGUGAAAUGCGCAGAUAUCAGGAGGAACACCGGUGGCGAAGGCGGUUCUCUGGGCCAUUACUGACACUGAGAAGCGAAAGCAUGGGGAGCGAACAGG
rnacentral:rRNA from 1 species